UACGGGGGGAGCAAGCGUUGUUCGGAUUUACUGGGCGUAAAGGGCGCGUAGGCGGCCUGUGCAAGUCAGUUGUGAAAUCUCCGGGCUUAACUCGGAACGGUCAACUGAUACUGCUCGGCUAGAGUGCGAAAGGGGCAACUGGAAUUCUUGGUGUAGCGGUGAAAUGCGUAGAUAUCAAGAGGAACACCUGCGGCGAAGGCGGGUUGCUGGGCCGACACUGACGCUGAUGCGCGAAAGCCAGGGGAGCGAACGGG
rnacentral:rRNA from 1 species